AUUGAACGCUGGCGGCAGGCCUAACACAUGCAAGUCGAACGAGUGGCGGACGGGUGAGUAAUGUCUGGGAAACUGCCCGAUGGAGGGGGAUAACUCCUGGAAACGGUAGCUAAUACCGCAUACCAUCGGAUGUGCCCAGAUGGGAGUGGCUAGUAGGUGGGGUAAAGGCUCACCUAGGCGACGAUCUCUCGCUGGUCUGAGAGGAUGACCAGCCAAACUGGAACUGAGACACGGUCCAGACGCCUACGGGAGGCAGCAGUGGGGAAUAGUGCACAAUGGGCGCAAGCCUGAUGCAGCCAUGCCGCGUGUAGGAAGAAGGCCUUCGGGUUGUAAAGUACUUUCAGCGAGGAGGCGUUACGCGCAGAAGAAGCACCGGCUAACUCCGUGCCAGCAGCCGCGGUAAUAC
rnacentral:rRNA from 1 species